AACGAACGCUGGCGGCGCGCCUAAUACAUGCAAGUCGAGCGAGAAGACGUAGCAAUACGUUUGUAAAGCGGCGAACGGGUGAGGAAUACAUGGGUAACCUACCCUCGAGUGGGGAAUAACUAGCCGAAAGGUUAGCUAAUACCGCGUACGCUCCUUGGACUUCGGUUCAGGGAGGAAAGCGAUACCGUGGGUAUCGCGCUCUUGGAUGGGCUCAUGUCCUAUCAGCUUGUUGGUGAGGAACGGCUCACCAAGGCUUCGACGGGUAGCUGGUCUGAGAGGACGAUCAGCCACACUGGCACUGCGACACGGGCCAGACUCCUACGGGAGGCAGCAGUAAGGAAUAUUGCGCAAUGGGCGAAAGCCUGACGCAGCGACGCCGCGUGGGGGAUGAAGGUCUUCGGAUUGUAAAGCCCUUUCGGUGGGAAGAAAGUCUCGACCUAAUACGUCGGGACCUUGACGUAACCCACUAAAGAAGCACCGGCUAACUCUGUGCCAGCAGCCGC
rnacentral:rRNA from 1 species